GGUGGCUCAAUGGUAGAGCGCUUGCCUCACGCGCCAGAGGCCCUGGGUUCGAUUCCUCAGCACCA
rnacentral:tRNA from 1 species